rnacentral:rRNA from 1 species
UUUGAUUUCCUUCGGGACUGAUUAUUUUGUGACUGAGUGGCGGACGGGUGAGUAACGCGUGGGUAACCUGCCUUGUACAGGGGGAUAACAGUUGGAAACGGCUGCUAAUACCGCAUAAGCGCACGGUGCUGCAUGGCACAGUGUGAAAAACUCCGGUGGUAUGAGAUGGACCCGCGUUGGAUUAGCUAGUUGGUGAGGUAACGGCCCACCAAGGCGACGAUCCAUAGCCGACCUGAGAGGGUGACCGGCCACAUUGGGACUGAGACACGGCCCAAACUCC